GCAGAAGGUCAUCAGGAUCAGCACUGGAAACCUCAACACAAGCAAAUGCUUCAGCAAGGCCAUGGGAACACAAGAGGAAAACAUUAGCGUUACCCAGAGGGUGGCUUAGCCAGCUCCAGUGGGUAUUGAGAGGUGGUGGCUGUAGUAUUAGUUUUAGUAUGCAAAGUAAAGACGCCGGUGUGUGUGUGUGAUUGCUCUGGAAUGGCAUAUGAGCUCUGUGGUUUGGUCCCCCGUCUCUCCAUCUCUGCCUCCGUCUCUGUGGUGGUGUCUCAGGCAGGGAAUAUAGCGCUGCAUGGUCCUAUAAACUUUAACAUAACAACCCCCUCAGGAGCUGGAAUUACUGACAGCCUCAGCUGCUCAGACUGCAGCCCACUCACCAAAACAUUGACUGAGGUAAUCGACACUCUGUAACGGUUGGUAUGGAAACAGAAGCUGGUAACCACUUUGACACAGAUGAGGAGUAGACCAGGAAAACACACUCGGUGUGGGUAGAAGCUGUCCUUUUGUUGUACAAUUGAUCUGAGAGCACUUUUUGAUGUUUUCCUUCAUACGGAUUGGAUUUGGAUGUAUAUGUGGGGAGCUCAUCUCAGAUCUGUGUUAUGCUGGAACCCUCUGCUCUGAGCCAAAAAAACACUUUGUUGCUUUUCUGUGGUUUUUAUGGCAAAUCAAGAAUCAUAAGAAAUCACGUCACAUCAAAUUUGUUAGCCCUGUGCUUGAGGAUGCGAGCGAGCCAAACACAGAUAACAGAAGAAUAGCGAACACUUGUCUCUGAAGCAGCUGCAUACUGGGAACUAUCUUUAACACAAUAGAAAUGUCAUCCCAGCC
ensembl:processed_transcript